rnacentral:rRNA from 1 species
UCCAGACUCCUACGGGAGGCAGCAGUGGGGAAUAUUGCACAAUGGGGGGAACCCUGAUGCAGCGACGCCGCGUGGGUGAAGGAGCACCUCGGUGCGUAAAGCCCUAUCGGCAGGGAAGAAACAGAAGGUACCUGACUAAGAAGCCCCGGCGAACUACGAGUCAGCAGCCGCGGUAAUACGUAGGGGGCAAGCGGUAUCCGGAUUCACUGGGUGUAAAGGGAGCGUAGACGGCGACGCAAGUCUGGAGUGAAAGCCCGGGGCCCAACCCCGGGACUGCUCUGGAAACUGCGUCGCUGGAGUGCGGGAGGGGGAGGCGGAAUUCCUGGUGUAGCGGUGAAAUGCGUAGAUAUCAGGAGGAGCACCGGCGGCGAAGGCGGCCUGCUGGACCGUGACUGACGUUGAGGCUCGAGCGCGUGAUGAGCAAACAGGAUGAGAUACCCCCGUAU